rnacentral:rRNA from 1 species
UGGCGGACGGGUGAGUAAUGUCUGGGAAACUGCCUGAUGGAGGGGGAUAACUACUGGAAACGGUAGCUAAUACCGCAUAAUGUCGCAAGACCAAAGAGGGGGACCUUCGGGCCUCUUGCCAUCGGAUGUGCCCAGAUGGGAUUAGCUAGUAGGUGGGGUAACGGCUCACCUAGGCGACGAUCCCUAGCUGGUCUGAGAGGAUGACCAGCCACACCGGAACUGAGACACGGCCCAGACUCCUACGGGAGGCAGCAUG